AAAAAAGAUGAAAAGAGGAGAGUUUGUAAAAACGCGGCGAUCUCUGGCGCGGUCUGAGAUGAGUGAGUGUCAGUGAGUGUUGGCAGGUCGGCCGCUCGCUCGCUUAUAGAACGCAGAGAGUUGAGCUGCGCGCAUCGGCGGGAGAAUGAAAUGACGGAAGCCGGAAGUGGCGCUGAGCACAGCCAGUCCUGCGCGAGCUCCACGCCAAACCCUGCGCGAGAGGCGAGCGUCCAGUGCGCGAGGGGGGAGCCACGCAACUCCGCGCACCGCAGAUCCCACUCACAUGCGCUGAGAACUACUAGACGUCGCGGCGCGUCGGGCACGCGUCCAAACCUUAAAACUGCGCUUUUAAUAUCUUUAUUGGAAGAAGGAAAGUCAUUCCAGCCCGACUUUGCUUAAUGCAUAACUGAUACAACUGCUAUCGAGUGUCACGUCCCUUAUUUUUUUUUAUUUUUCUUGUGCACAACAAGGUUCAAAAAACGCAUACUCAGUCGGGGCCCCUUUCAGAAUAAAGUAAACUUUUCCACGCGCGAGAAGACAAAACAAAGCUAGGUAUAUGUUUGGAAACUGUCUUUAGUCCAACAGCAUUUGAAGAUUGAAAUGUGAGCCGUGCAUCGCGCGCUCAAUUAUCAAAGAGCCCCGAGAUCAUCAAUCAUUAGGAAGGCCUGAAGUUUCAGAGGAGGAGCAAUGAUAUUGAUUGUGCUACAGAUGGCCCCGAAUACCACAAACAGACCCUUAAAAUACUACUCCUCAUCAAUGAUCAUAUAGCCUGCAUCGCGGCACAUGUGACAUCAUCGUCGUAUCGACCGAUUUUUACAUAAAUGUCUACAUUUCGAGCUCCCUGACUUGUUUUGUUGUCGAAAUUAACAAUUCACGGCUUAGUGGAGCUGAACUCAUGCGGGAUCUCAACAAACAAGGUCAAUAAAGUGCUCCGCAGACGCCCGAACCACGGGCUUGAGUUCUGAUGAAGCAGGCAAUUAAAACGGAUUUCAUAAAUGCAACAACUGCUCUGUUUAUGACAGAGGGGAGGGAAGACCACGAGGAGAGAGUAGAAGUGAAGGGUACACUGUGCGAUAGCGACUGCAGUGGACACAGAGCGCGCGCUGCCUGACCACUGCUUCAUCGCGAGGAAGAAGAUGAGGACCAUCUCUAUAGAGACGCGGGAACAUGUCACUCCUGUCCCUGAAGGAAGCUGUGCAGCUCCAGUGUUUGGAGAAGUUUCGUGAGUAACUGGAAAUUCUUGAAAGGCGUAUUUUCCUUCAGUGGCAUUAUUCUCACUGCACUGUGAGACGCUCAGUGUGUGUGUGUGUGUGUGUGUGUGUGUGUGUGUCUGUCUGUGUGUGUGUGUGUGUGUGUGUGUGUGUGUGUGUGUGUGUGUCCUCAACGCGAGUCUGCAGCUCUUUAGCGACACCUGCCGGAUCAAUCAUGCGCCGCACUGCAUCCACUGUAAAACUCUAGCUAAAUUAAAAUAAAGAAACACUGAUAUCGUGAGAGAGAAAAAUACAGAUAUCAACGAAAUUUGCUUUGAAUAAAUGAUAGUAUGUCAUGGGCCAAUUGCGAAGAGCGAAAUAAACAGACCACCAAGAGUUUUCGCAUAGCCAUUUUUGUGUGUGUGUGUGUGUGUGUGUGUGUGUGUGCAUGUUUUAUUAGUUUUUGUUAUCGAUGAUGUUUAAAGUGUCUUUUGUUGUUGUUGAGUGCUUCACAAUAUCUCAUACAAUUAGAUGAAUUUCAUUUUCAUUCGUUUCAUUCAUUUUUUUUUUCACUCGCCAGUUUUCCCUCGGGAUAAAUCCAUAAAUAUUAAAUGUAAAAUACACAUAUAUAUUUGCAUCACUGAUAGGUGAACAACGUCUAUAAUUAUUUUCUUAAAAAUAAAUGCAUUAAAAUGUAUCACACAACUGCAAAAUGAGUACGAAUCAUUUACGCGUUGUUAUUAUUGCUAUUAAUAAUCCCUUUCGCCAUAUUUGGAAGUGCAAACAUAUCUGAUUAUUUAAAAAAGGGGGGAAACAAUAUCUAAUCUUUACAAUACCAAAUAAAAUAGCAACAUAUAUUGGUCGAAUACAAUAUCACUAAUAAAUGUAAAAAAUGUAACACGUUAUUUUAAGAUGUCCUUGUUACACGUUACAUGAUACUGUUAUAAUAAUAAUAAAUUAUGCAUAAACACGCAAGUAACCGUACAGUAAGUACAUGCAGUUCAUUAAUAUUACUCAGUACAUAAAUGUAUAAUUACACUGUAACAAGAACACCUUAAAAUAAAGUGUAACCGAAAUAAACAAUACAUAAAUAAAGCUCAUUGCAGCGCCCGAUCAACUCUUUGUAAAAUAUCUACUUUGACAUGUAUCUUGAAACAGGCCUAUAUAUGUCAAAAGCUUUCAGUGUCCACGAGAAGAAUACUAAAAGAAAGAAAUGCUUGAUUAUUAAUGAUCUUGGGAUAAUAAGAUAACGUGUUAUUUGUGUCGCUCGCCUCGAGUGCGUUAAGAGGCUUAAAGCUCUGACACCUUUACAUUAAAUUCACACCUUUAAUUUACACUCAUAUCCCGCAACAAGAAGAAACACAAUAUACGAAUCUUUUCUGAUUAGAUCUGAUUUGCCUUUUCAUUUCCUUUCCUUUAUUUAUUUAUUUAUUUAUUUAUUUAUUUAUUUAUUUAUUUAUUUAUUUAUUUAUUAUUUUUGUGGGCAUUGCUUUAUUAUUAUUAUUAUUAUUAUUAUUAUAUACAGGCUAAUAUACGGCGAGAAUUGUAUAAUGCGUAUUCAUGUAAAAAGGCCUACAUUUAAAGUAUGAUCAGCCAAAAGUUAUUUUCAUUUUAGAGAGAGAAAAAAGAAAUAUGAUUAGGCCAAUUUUUAUUUUAUUUUAUUUUUUUGUAAGAGAUGCGGUUAGCGGCUCAAGGGGUUAAAAUCUUGCACAUAGAUCAGAGUUGUAGUGACUGCGUGUCAAAACAGUAAUGAAACACAAGCCACGCCCACUUGCGUCACUGACAACUCAUUAGCGCUGAUCGUUUGCUUCUAAACUAGAGGACAAAAUGAUAUCGUUAAUGGCUUCUUGGUAAUUCGUUACUGUGCAGGUUUUCCAGAUAUACCGUGUGUUCAUGCACGAAACUAUAACAAAGCGCCACUUUCCACAGGUUCACUCAUUAUGCAGCUCCAGGAAUCACGGGCCCCCUCAGGACUCCUGGUUUCCCGCUAUUUAAACAAAUACUCGACAUGUUAAGAAGAAUUGUUUUCCAUAUCCACUGUUUAAAUUAAAGGUGUAAAAUCCACAUAGCUGUUCGCGAUGUGUUCAAAUAAAUGCCGUUGCCUUCUUUGUUGUUGUUUUGUUUUUCUAACAUCUUCCCAUUUGACGGUAUCUCCCUUGGUUCCGGAAGAGUUUACUCGAUCAAGCAGGGAGCCAGGUAAUUACCACACACUGUCAAACACAGGGACCACUGAUUCAAAUGCAGAGUGAAGUAUCAAAGAGGAGCGUUCCGUUCGCAGGCGGCCCCAGAUCUCCAGGAGACGCUGGCGAGACGCCCGCCACAGGGACAGCGCGAGGAUGUGACAGCACUUACAUCACAGCCCUGAACGGAACGUUUGCCUCUGUACGAACCGCUGCCCUCCAGGCCCGCAGAAGCCCAACUAUUCCCGGUGUGCGAUGCAACCAUGAAAUCGAUUUAGAGUCGGGUUAAAAAUGUCAGUUUUAGAAGAACAUUAAUUAUAAUACUGUUUACACUGAAACCAUGCAGUUGCUACCUUAAAAUGCUAUUUUUGCCUUACUGAACAACACAACUAGUUUUGUUGGUAUGCAUUCGUGUAUUUAAUUAUGGUUAAUUAUCAUUUUCAGUGUAGAUUUAUUAAGAUGGUUUCGAAUCACGAUUUUUUGUUUUUUGUUUUUAUGUUUUUAUUUUUAUUUUACAUGCUAUUUGUAUUCAGAAAUGAAUACGUCUUUUAUGUGCAUAUGAUACGCAUGUGUCUAACGUGUGUAUGAUACGCAGAUUUGUGCGCAUAGGAUACGCACUUUGUUGGCGUACAUAUAAUAGGCAUCUUCCCCACACCCCUAAACCUACCAAAUGCAUAUCAUAUGCAUGCCAAAGUCAAUUUUUUUUGCUGUAAAUAGUACGCCAAAUAAAAACAGAAAAUCGUGCUAAACGCACAUUCAUGAGAUUGGGUUAUGAUGUGAUAUUCCACCAAAAAUAAAAUGCUUGUGAAUUUUAUUGCAUACAUUUUCCUCUAAUGCACAAUAGAAUAAUGUCACUCUGCUGCAUCUCAAGGAACUGUAGUUUAUUUAGUCCAAUUAGAUGAUGAGGCAAAAAUGCAAUGUCCCAGUUGCUGUGCAAAACUGUUGGAAUCUCAAUCCAGUCUGGAGGGACUUUUGAGUGUUUAACAUUAUAAACAUGCCCCCCUCCUCCAGCUCCGAGGGAUACUUUACAUGUAAAUAUUCACACAGCCAAAGAGCAGGCCAUGAAUUAUUGAGCGCUGCAAAGAAGUAAAAUGUCUUUGUGUUCAAGCUCAAGAAUGGACAGAAGAGAGAGAAUUAUCCAAACAGAAAGGUGAUUGGGGAAUGAUGAAACAAAAGAUACUGGUUAUUUCAAAUCAUGCUCUCUCUCACACACACACACACACACACACACACACACACACGAUGCACAUCUAUAGGUAGGUGUGUGUGUGUGUGUGUGUGUGUGUGUGUGUGUGUGUGUGUGUACAGGCCUAUAUAUGAAUCUGCACAAACAAGAGUCACAUGUCAAAACUUGUCAAAGUUUCCCGGUGAAGAGAGUUGGGCUGAGUUCUGUUCUCGUCUUUGUUGUGUUCUGGCCUGUGGCUGAACACUUGACAGACUGUCAGGAGCUGAUGGGAUAUGAGUGCAGGUACUAGAAAGCUGUUCAUUUCUGUGGUUGAUUCACCACUCCAUUCUUUAUUAUCAAACAGGUAACAGCUAGAGAAACACAAUACUAAUGGGAUGCACGGGUGGAGAUCUGUGUUUAUUGUGUUUGUGAUGCGUGAGGUUUAGACACAAUGCUUUUCAGUGUUUAUGUACGGUGGAAUUAUAACUGUGCAUCGCUAAUAUGAAGCAGAAUUAAAGAUUUAGUGUUCAGUCAUUCCAAAGCCAUGUAAACAUUAAGACGCUCUGUUUACUGCAUGACCUCACCAUUGAAAACACAGAAAUGCACAACUCAAAUAAAAUAUCCCAGCUCAGCACAAGGCUUAAUCCCCAUACUACUAUUAAGUAAUUGUGAAUUACUGUACUAUAAUUGUGCGAGUAAACUAAAAGUCUAUUAGCAAUUUAACAGAAUGCACACACACACACACCAGGGCACUAAACAGACACAAUUCACAAGUGGUCCUGAUGUCUCAGAGGACUUUUAAUAUGUAUGAGGAACAUCAAAGAGGAAUAUCCUGCCAUGUGGCACCUCCAAAUGAUCAAGCUUAUUAUCAGAUAUAUGCAAAUGUUUUCCACUUUUGUUGCUCUCUGUUUGUGGAACUGCUGUGGAAAAUACAGAUGAUCGCUAGAAACACCACUGAUGAUAUCUAGUGAGCACUACCUGCAUGCAUUUUUGUGCAUUAAGCUUAUUUUCUCUGAUAAAAUCUGAAGACACCUCAUGUGUCACUUUCUAUGAGAAGAUUAUUAUGAAUUGGAUUUGUGUGAUUUGUGAUAAGAACCCUUGAAGAGAUGCUGCAAAUAAAUAAAUGAAACCA